GAGACUGCAGCAGCCGAGCGAGCGCGGAGCGAUGGGCUGGUGGAAGCCAGAGCGCAGCGCGAGGAGCGGCGGCGGUGCGAGGGCUACAUCGAGCCAUGAAGCUGACCAACUUCAAGAAACCACUGAAUUUACAAGUCAUCUAGGAGCUCAGUGAGGAACCCUCUCAAACACUGCCAACACCAUAAGCUGGUACACCGAACUUUGUCCAUCUACACGGAAGACUGAAUUUCCUAUAGCCCUCAUACAUUGGCUAUUUUUUCUCUUGUAUCCAUCCCGUGUACCACUUGGAUGUUGUGGAUGUUGGAGGAAGAGUGGAUAGGUCUCUUACCUGUUGCCCGUUGUGGCAUUCAGACCAUUGUCCUUUCCUCCUACCUCAUUAUCUCAUCUUUUUUGAAGUUAAUUUCUUGAGUACAUCACCUCUUAUCCCUUCUUCUUGUUCCCAUUUUCUAUCUUUUUACCCUUUUAUUCUGGUACUUCAGUUCCCAUAAUUCCACAAAUAUGUGAGGCCCUAUUAACCAUGAGUAUCAUUGCCCAUGCUCUUGUCUUUUUUUAUCUAAUCUAGAUUCCAAUCACCAUAAUCAUUCCCUGAAGAGACCCAUUCUCCCUUACUCCUCUCUUACUUUGUCAAACUAAUUUAGGAAAACACCAUUACUGUUUGAAGCUGAAUGUGGCAACUUGGGAAGCAGUAGCAUGUGGCUAGAAACAGGCAAUAUUUUACCUUAGCACUGCAGAGAAUUCCUGCCAUACUUCUAGGGGCAGUUUUCUCUCUCUCUCUCUGCUAGAUGGUUUUUUCAUACCUUUACUUUCUCAUCAAGCAUCCACAGCUUCUCCUUGCCUCACUCUGCUGAUAAUUUUGCUUCUUGUUCUCCAGGGAAAUAAGAAGCAAAAUGGAUGAGAGAGAGUUUUCACAUGCUCCCACUACCAAAUCUAAAAUCCUGUGUAAUCUUCAUGUUACCAUGCUGUAAGGAUCAUUUAAUAUUCAGUCUUCAUUUAAGUCCUUAACAGCGUUUGAAACAGUUGUUCAUUCUCACCUCUUUGAAAUACUAUCCUCACUUAACCUUCUGGACACCCCACUUUGUCUAAUUAUCCUGCUUCUCUAGUCAUUUUUUCUUUGUCACCUUUGCUGGCUUCUUCUCAUCUCCCCUACUU